CCUGGCCCUAAACGAUGUCGACUAGAUCGUGGAGCCUCUGACGGUUUCACGGUCGAAGCAAAAGUGCUAAGUCGACCGCCUGGGAAGUACGGUCGCAAGGCUAAAACUCAAAGGAAUUGACGGGGGCUCACACAAGCGGUGGAGCAUGUGGUUUAAUUCGAAGCAACGCGCAGAACCUUACCUGGGUUUGACAUGCUAGGAUUAUCCCUAUGAAAGUAGGGUACGCCCCGCAAGGGGUGGAACUAGCACAGGUGCUGCAUGGCUGU
rnacentral:rRNA from 1 species